rnacentral:rRNA from 1 species
GUGGGGAAUUGUUCGCAAUGGGCGCAAGCCUGACGACGCAACGCCGCGUGGAGGAUGAAGACCUUCGGGUCGUAAACUCCUUUCGAUCGAGACGAAUGGCCCUUGGGCUAAUCACCAAGGGAAUGACGGUACCGAGAGAAGAAGCCCCGGCUAACUCCGUGCCAGCAGCCGCGGUAAUACGGGGGGGGCAAGCGUUGUUCGGAAUUACUGGGCGUAAAGGGCUCGUAGGCGGCCAACUAAGUCAGACGUGAAAUCCCUCGGCUUAACCGGGGAACUGCGUCUGAUACUGGAUGGCUUGAAUCCGGGAGAGGGAUGCGGAAUUCCAGGUGUAGCGGUGAAAUGCGUAGAUAUCUGGAGGAACACCGGUGGCGAAGGCGGCAUCCUGGACCGGCAUUGACGCUGAGGAGCGAAAGCCAGGGGAGCAAACGGGAUUAGAUACCCGAGUAGUCC